rnacentral:rRNA from 1 species
GACGAACGCUGGCGGCGCGCUUAACACAUGCAAGUCGAACGGAAAGGCCUGCUUUCCCUUGUGGAUUGCGGGUACUCGAGUGGCGAACGGGUGAGUAACACGUGAGUGAUCUGCCCCCAACUUGGGUAUAAGCCUGGGAAACUGGGUCUAAUUCCCGAUAGGACUGCAGGGUGGUGCCUGUGGUGGAAAACGAUUUUCUAGUGGUUGGGGAUGAGCUCGCGGCCUAUCAGCUUGUUGGUGGGGUAAUGGCCUACCAAGGCGGCGACGGGUAGCCGGCCUGAGAGGGUGGACGGCCACAUUGGGACUGAGAUACGGCCCAGACUCCUACGGGAGGCAGGAGUGGGGAAUAUUGCACAAUGGGCGGAAGCCUGAUGCAGCGACGCCGCGUGGGGGAUGACGGCCUUCGGGUUGUAAACUCCUUUCGACCGCGAGGAAGCCACCUGGUUGGAAGGGUGGUGGCGGUAGUGGUAGAAGAAGCACCGGCUAACUACGUG